rnacentral:rRNA from 1 species
AGUGAACGCUGGCGGUAGGCCUAACACAUGCAAGUCGAACGGCAGCACAGUAAGAGCUUGCUCUUACGGGUGGCGAGUGGCGGACGGGUGAGGAAUACAUCGGAAUCUACUUUUUCGUGGGGGAUAACGUAGGGAAACUUACGCUAAUACCGCAUACGACCUACGGGUGAAAGCAGGGGAUCUUCGGACCUUGCGCGAUUGAAUGAGCCGAUGUCGGAUUAGCUAGUUGGCGGGGGAAAGGCCCACCAAGGCGACGAUACGGAGCUGGUCCGAGAGGAGGGUCAGCCACACUGGAACGGAGACACGGUCCAGACUCCUACGGGAGGCAGCAGUGGGGAAGAUUGGACAAUGGGCGCAAGCCUGAUCCAGCCAUACCGCGUGGGUGAAGAAGGCCUUCGGGUUGUAAAGCCCUUUUGUUGGGAAAGAAAAGCAGCAGGUUAAUACCCCGCUGUUCUGACGGUACCCAAAGAAUAAGCACCGGCUAACUUCGUG